AUGGUCAGGGAAGAGAGAGGCACAAGAGAGCCUGUUUGCCUGGGAGUGCAUGUUUCAAAUGCUUAGCUGCCUAUAAAGCUGUAACAGUUUAGCCUCUGGCCACUGAGAGAAGAAUAUAAGCUAAUCUCUUUAGUGACCAUGUGGAAGUCCUGACCUUGCUUGCAGACUUGACCUCUGGAUAUGACAAGGUAGCUUCAAUAAAGAUCUACCACUUAAUCCUGGAAACUAAAAACAAACAAAAAAAAAAAACCUCAAAGCAAGAAAGAUGCAGAAUAUUUCCCAAGAAGUCAGAAGAACCCAAUUAUUCUGGUGGGCAGAAGAUAACAGGCUCGUGAAAAGAAGUGCUGAAUCAGCAGAGUGAAGGAACAAUCAAGAUGAGAUGGCUGCUGCUGGUGUGACUCUAGGUCUUUACCUCUCUUCCUGCUACAAAUGCUGCAUGACACUAUGUAACAGAGCACCACAAGGAUCUAGAAGAAACUACAAAAUAUGAAGAAAUUCACUCUGAAGACUAUAUGGAAACACUAGGCUGAUAUUAUCAAUUUCUGAAAAACACUUUGUGAAACUCCACUGAUUCUAUAAAUCUCUUACAAAAAGAAUCAAGCCAAGAUAAAGUUCAACAGAUAACUGUUCAACAUUUAGAAGUAUCCAUAUUCACCAAGAACAAGGAGUUAUAAAUGGCACUGAUGGACAUGCUUCAGGUAAUUUGUUAAAAUUUUAUAAUCUCUGCAAAUGAUCUACCAUUGCUCUACAUCAAUAAGCUGAAUGUUUUACUAACAAAUGGGUAAAUAAAACAGUUCAUGUUUUUACAGCUAACAACUUAGUAAUAACCUACUCAGAGUACAUACUUCUUUAUGUACCCAUAUGAACAUACAAUGCUAUGGAAUGUAAAGAAGUAUGUAUUUUUGGUAGGCAAUAAACCACCAAGAGGGAAAUAAACUGCAGCGAUAAGAAGCCUUUGCUUCUUUCUAUGAGAAUGACCCUCAUAUAGUAAAUUAACUUAGCACAAAAGAGAUGACCUUUAGCAAUACUAACACCAAAAAAAGCAUACUUACUACUUAGAGAUGGAAACUAAUGUGGCUAAAGUUCAUAUUUUGUUAAAAAAAAAAAAGGUUCAACAAAAGUAGAUUUGAAAU